rnacentral:tRNA from 1 species
GGAGAAAUACUCAAGAGGCUGAAGAGGCGCCCCUGCUAAGGGUGUAGGUCGGGGAUACCCGGCGCGAGGGUUCAAAUCCCUCUUUCUCCG